rnacentral:rRNA from 1 species
AUGACGACCGGCGCACGGGUGCGUAACGCGUAUAGAACCUACCUUUUACAGAGGAAUAGCCUUUAGAAAUGAAGAUUAAUGCCUCAUAGUAUUGUAGACUGGCAUCAGUUUAUAAUUAAAGAUUUAUCGGUAAAAGAUGGCUAUGCGUCCUAUUAGUUAGUUGGUAAGGUAACGGCUUACCAAGACAGCGAUAGGUAGGGGUCCUGAGAGGGAGAUCCCCCACACUGGUACUGAGACACGGACCAGACUCCUACGGGAGGCAGCAGUGAGGAAUAUUGGACAAUGGAGGAGACUCUGAUCCAGCCAUGCCGCGUGUAGGAAGAAUGCCCUAUGGGUUGUAAACUACUUUUAUACAGGAAGAAACACUGGUAUGUAUACCAGCUUGACGGUACUGUAAGAAUAAGGACCGGC